rnacentral:rRNA from 1 species
UACGUAGGUCCCGAGCGUUGCGCGAAUUCACUGGGCGUAAAGCGUCCGCAGCCGGAUGGGUAAGCGGUUCGUCAAAGCCCACCGCUCAACGGUGGAAAGGCGUACCGAACUGCCCAUCUUGAGGCAUGCUCAGGCAGGCGGAAUUCCCGGUGUCGCGGUGAAAUGCGUAGAUAUCGGGAGGAACACCGAAGGCGAAGGCAGCCUGCUGGGGCUGUCCUGACGGUCAGGGACGAAAGCUGGGGGAGCAAACCGG